AUUCUACUUCAGCUAUCCUUCCACUGAUAUCCUACUUCAGAUAUCCUUCCACUGCUAUCCUACAUCAGCUAUCCUUCCACUGAUAUCCUACUUCAGCUAUCCUUCCACUGAUAUACUACUUCAGAUAUCCUUCCACUGAUAUCCUACUUCAGCUAUCCUUCCACUGAGAUCCUACUUCAGCUAUCCUUCCACUGAUAUCCUACUUCAGCUAUCCUUCCACUGAUAUCCUUCCACCGAGAUCCUACUUUAGCUAUCCUUCCACUGAGAUCCUACUUCAGCUAUCCUUCCACUGAUAUCCUACUUCAGCUAUCCUUCCACUGAGAUUCUACAUCAGCUAUCCUUCCACUGAUAUCCUACUUCAGCUAUCCUUCCACUGCUAUCCUACUUCAGCUAUCCUUCCACUGAUAUCCUACUUCAGCUAUCCUUCCACUGAUAUCCUACUUCAGCUAUCCUUCCACUGCUAUCCUACAUCAGCUAUCCUUCCACUGAUCUCCUACUUCAGCUAUCCUUCCACUGCUAUCCUACAUCAGCUAUCCUUCCACUGAUCUCCUACUUCAGCUAUCCUUCCACUGAUAUACUACUUCAGAUAUCCUUCCACUGAUAUCCUACUUCAGAUAUCCUUCCACUGAUAUCCUACUUCAGAUAUCCUUCCACUGAUAUCCUACUUCAGAUAUCCUUCCACUGAUAUUCUACUUCAGCUAUCCUUCCACUGAUAUCCUACUUCAGAUAUCCUUCCACUGCUAUCCUACAUCAGCUAUCCUUCCACUGAUAUCCUACUUCAGCUAUCCUUCCACUGAUAUACUACUUCAGAUAUCAUUCCACUGAUAUCCUACUUCAGAUAUCCUUCCACUGAUAUCCUACUUCAGAUAUCCUUCCACUGAUAUCCUACUUCAGAUAUCCUUCCACUGAUAUUCUACUUCAGCUAUCCUUCCACUGAUAUACUACUUCAGAUAUCCUUCCACUGAUAUCCUACUUCAGAUAUCCUUCCACUGAUAUCCUACUUCAGAUAUCCUUCCACUGAUAUCGUACUUCAGAUAUCCUUCCACUGAUAUCUGUCUCCCUUCCCCAUUCCUACUAGUAAAGGUGUGUUAUUAUAAUGCUCCUCCUCCCCCUAGCAAAGGUGUGUUAUUAUAAUGCUCCUCCUCCCCAUAGUAAAGGUGGGUUAUUAUAAUGCUCCUCCUCCCCAUAGUAAAGGUGUGUUAUUAUAAUGCUCCUCCUCCCCAUAGUAAAGGUGUGUUAUAAUGCUCCUCCUCCCCCCUAGUAAAGGUGUGUUAUAAUGCUCCUCCUCCCCCUAGUAAAGGUGUGUUAUUA
ensembl:lncRNA